rnacentral:rRNA from 1 species
AUGCAAAAACUCAGGCUGGACCACCGGGGCUUCACUGCUGGCGGAACAGUAGAGGGCUUGGCUGCUACCAGGGUGAUCCAAAUGGAGCGUGUUUGUGGCCUCUUGCACUGCAUGAUUAAUGGUGUUAAUUUCUGUGAUGCAGCUAGCAAAGUUGGCAAUAGGUACAGUACUAUAACCAUCAUGAUCUGCACAGGGAUAUCACCUAGGUGCAUAAAUCAUAAUCAUUCAGUUUUUAUUUGGCAAGCUGGAGCUACCCAGAACUUCCGAUUUUGGUGCCAAGAUGGAUGGAUUGAACCGGGUGACCCACUGUCAGGUAUUAUUGUUCAGUUAUCCUGA